GAUCAUCCAAUAACCAAUCCACAUCAACAUCAUAAAUGCAAUGCAACAUAUUCGUGAUUUCUAAUGCAAACAACCUAAUUCAUCACAUGGCAUUCAUGAUGCAUGAACAUGCUCAAAAUCUUAUAAUGUAUUUGCUUUAAAUCGUAAAGGUUUAUUCUACUCACCUCUAGCUGAAGCUCUACUAACUCAGAAGCAGCUGAACUCACUGCUGGGGUCCUCGGUUCCUCGGGUUCGAACCUACACAGGUGGACUCAAAUGAGGGACCAAACAUCUAGAACAUAACUCUAAAAACAUCCCCCAAAAACCCC
rnacentral:lncRNA from 1 species